rnacentral:miRNA from 1 species
AGGUGAUCAAUAAUUCCUUCCCGAGACUUUGCUUUAAUUGCUAGGAUCAGGGGGCAGUUAGGAUGAGUUAGAGGUUGGGGAGGAGAUUACAGUGUGUGGGAGAUGGGGGUGGAUGGAG